GUGCUCGCUUUCACAGCACAUAUACUAAAAUUGGAAUGAUACAGAGAAGAUGAGCAUGGCCCCUGCGCAAGGAUGACAUCCAAAUUCAUGCAGUGCUCCAUAAAAAA
ensembl:snRNA U6 U6 spliceosomal RNA